UUACGACCAUAUCACGUUGAAACAUCGGUUCUCGUACGAUCACCGAAAAGUAACGUAGAGCCUGGUUAGUACCUAGAUGGGUGAGCGCUUAGGAAUACCAGGUGCUGUAAG